GAUGAAGAACGUAUUGAAAUGCGAUAAUUAAUGUGAAUUGCAGAAUUCAGUGAAUCAUCGAGUCUUUGAACGCACAUUGCGCCCCCUGGUAUUCCGGGGGGCAUGCCUGUCCGAGCGUCAUUGCUGCCCUCAAGCACGGCUUGUGUGUUGGGCUUCCGUCCCUGGCAACGGGGACGGGCCCAAAAGGCAGUGGCGGCACCAUGUCUGGUCCUCGAGCGUAUGGGGCUUUGUCACCCGCUCCCGUAGGUCCAGCUGGCAGCUAGCCUCGCAACCAAUCUUUUUAACCAGGUUGACCUCGGAUCAGGUAGGGAUACCCGCUGAACUUAAGCAUAUCAAUAAGCGGAGGA
rnacentral:misc_RNA from 1 species